UACGUAGGGGGCAAGCGUUAUCCGGAAUUACUGGGUGUAUAGGGAGCGUAGACGGUAAUGUAAGUCUGGAGUGAAAGGCGGGGGCCCAACCCCCGGACUGCUCUGGAAACUAUGUUACUAGAGUGCAGGAGAGGUAAGCGGAAUUCCUAGUGUAGCGGUGAAAUGCGUAGAUAUUAGGAGGAACACCAGUGGCGAAGGCGGCUUACUGGACUGUAACUGACGUUGAGGCUCGAAAGCGUGGGGAGCAAACAGG
rnacentral:rRNA from 1 species